UACGGGGGGGGCAAGCGUUGUUCGGAAUUACUGGGCGUAAAGGGCUCGUAGGCGGCCAACUAAGUCAGACGUGAAAUCCCUCGGCUUAACCGGGGAACUGCGUCUGAUACUGGAUGGCUUGAAUCCGGGAGAGGGAUGCGGAAUUCCAGGUGUAGCGGUGAAAUGCGUAGAUAUCUGGAGGAACACCGGUGGCGAAAGCGGCGCGCUGGACCUCUUCUGACGCUGAGGCGCGAAAGCCAGGGGAGCAAACGGG
rnacentral:rRNA from 1 species